GAAACUACUACACCCCGCCGAGCGCGGUGGCUCACGCCUGUAAUCCUACCACUUUGAGAGGUCCUUAGGUCAAGAGUUCGAGACUAGCCUGGCCAACAUGGUGAAACCCCGUCUGUACUAAAAAUACAAAACUUAGCCGGGCGUGGUGGCGGGCAGUUGUAAUCCCAGCUACUCGGGAGGCUGAGGUGAGAGAAUCGCUUGAAGCCGGUAGGCAGAGGUUGCAGUGAGCCGAGAUCGCGCCAUUACACUACAGCCUGGGCGACAAGAGCAAAACUCCAUCUCAAAAAAAAAGAAAAAAAGAAAAGAAAAAAAAAAAAACAAAAGGCCAAAACACUGCUACUUCCAGUAUGCCUGGUGAGGAGCGCACCGCACUGCCCCUCCCUGAAGUUUUUCAGAUUAACUCUUAAGUACUCCACGGCUACAUGCUCCUGAAGCUGUCAUAGUCACAGCCUCAGAUCUGUGCAGGGCGGAUGCACAAGAGCAGAAUCUCCGUGGACAUCUUUCUGGAGCAUCAAUUUUACUGCAAGAUUUUGAAGAAACACAUUUAAUUGAUUUUCAAGGAUUGCAGAAACCGUGAAUGAGGAGGGCUGACUCUAUCUAUGUUUGGAGUCUGUGAAUAUGAACUCUUCCUAUGUUGGUAAAUGGAAAUUUCUUUCACCAAAUGGCUGAACUGCUUUUUCACUGGCAUGUUCAAAAAACUUACAAGAAGAAGGACAAGAACUGAGAAAGAGAAAGGAUAAGAACUGAACAUUGGUGGGAGGCUGAGACAGGUGGAUCACUUGAGGUCAGGAGGGUGAGACCAGCCUGGCCAACGUGGUGAAACCCCGUCUCUACUAAAAGUACAAAAAUUAGCUGGGCAUAGCAGUGGGCACCUGUAAUCCCAGCUACUGGGGAGGCUUAGGCAGGAGAAUCACUUGAAUUCGGGAGGUGGAUGUUGCAGUGAGCCGAGGUGGCACCACUGCACUCUAGCUCGGGCGACAGAGGGAGACUCCAUCCAAAAAACAAAACAAAAAAAACGAAACAAAAAACAUUGGCAAGUGGCACAUUUUCACAAACUAGAAGAGUGGAAUUGUAACAAGCACUCUGAUAGAAAGUCAUGGUUCUUUCCUGCAACUGUCUUUUAAAAAUACUGUGAUUUUCAGAAAAGAAAAAAAAAGAUAUAAUAGGUUAUAAAUUCAUUAGAGAAGAGAGAAAAUAAAUAAUCCCCAGAAGUAAAUUGUCAGCCAGUUUCAAGGUAAAAUGUAGACACAUUAUCCUUGAUCUUUCUGAAUAAUUUUACAGCUUAGGGUAUAGGAGCUUCUAUCACUGCAGAACCAGGAUCACCUGUGGAAAGUCCCUGGUGAAGUCAGCUCCCUUCCAGCCUGUUCCUCAGGCCCAGCAGUAAUGAGUUGUUCUUCCUCCAAGUCAUUCCAUUCAUUGGCAGCAAACCCUGAUAUUUUGGAUAGUAGUUGCUUUUGAUCUUAGAUUUUAACAGAAAGUUUGAUGAAAAGUCUUCAAGACUUACAAGCAUGACCCUCACUUCAGUCAGUCAGUCUGCCCCAGAGGUCCUUGAUUCAACGUAUAGAGAUGGGCAUUUUGAGCAUGUCCUUAAGGCUGAGGUGCAGCUCUAUGGCACAGACUCAUUCUGAAAGAAGCCCAAGUCCCACCCUGAGCUCUCUGUCUCCCAUGUGUGGGCUUAUCAGGGAAGACAGAAGCCCAGAGACCCCUGCACUUGGGGAUCGGCCAUAGGAGCUGCUUCCUGGGUGGGGAGAUGGGAGCUAGCAGCUCAGAAUGGGGCCAUAAGGUAAGUUCCAAACAGCUGUGUCACAGAGUAUGUCAGCAGAACUUUGUGACAUCAGUUGCAAAGAGAGGGAGCAUGUGAAGGACAAAGCCUUGAGUGAUGACAUAGCCCAUUCCGGGGAAGGGAAGAAAUUAGCAUCCUAAGGUUAUAAUAUAGAUAACCAAUGUGCAACAACUACAAUAACAAAAAUUUAAC
rnacentral:lncRNA from 1 species